GUGGGGAAUAUUGGGCAAUGGGCGCAAGCCUGACCCAGCCACGCCGCGUGAGUGAUGAAGGCCUUCGGGUCGUAAAGCUCUGUGGGGAGGGACGAAACCGCCCGGGUGAACAAUCCGGGUUCUGACGGUACCUCCUUAGCAAGCACCGGCUAACUCCGUGCCAGCAGCCGCGGUAAUACGGAGGGUGCAAACGUUGCUCGGAAUCAUUGGGCGUAAAGCGCACGUAGGCGGUCCGGUACGUCGGGUGUGAAAGCCCUCGGCUUAACCGAGGAAGUGCAUUCGAAACUGCCGGACUUGAGUACUGGAGAGGGUCGCGGAAUUCCCGGUGUAGAGGUGAAAUUCGUAGAUAUCGGGAGGAACACCAGCGGCGAAGGCGGCGACCUGGACAGAUACUGACGCUGAGGUGCGAAAGCGUGGGGAGCAAACAGGAUUAGAAACCCGUGUAGUCC
rnacentral:rRNA from 1 species